CCUCCCUGUAGACGGAUUCCCUUCUGGUUCUUUCCCCAAGUUCCACCUUUGGUUUGGUUUCUCUGACUGUUUUUGUUGUAUUUAUUUUGUUUCUUUCAUACUAACACACCCUCACACACACCCAUCCAUCAUCCUGCGCAGACACUACUGAAACCACAGGUGCAGCUCCAAAGCCAUACGUCACCACACUGGAUCAAACAGAGAACCGCGCUGUGCUGCAGUGUGAAGUUCAAGGUGCUUUUCCUAAACCUACAGUAGAGUGGCAGGACAGUGAUGGAAACAAACUUCCUGCUGAGGAGCCACAGGUCUCAGAAAGAGGAGGCAGCUUCUACAUCAUCCUCCAAACUACUGUAAUGAAGACCGACCGCUAUCGCUGUGUAGCCACACAGGAGGAGAUCAAACAUCACAUUUAUACUGAGACCUUCAUAUACAUCCAUGGGUUCCCCAUUGGAUUGGUUGUUGCUGUGGUUAUUGUUGUUGCCCUUUUAUUUGGUGUUUGGAGUUAUAUUAUUCUUAAGCAUUAAGCGUUCUGUUGGUAUUUACACCAGGGUAGGAUCAAGGAGGAAGGGAUUUCAG